rnacentral:tRNA from 1 species
GCCUGGGUGGCUCAGUCGGUUGAGCAUCUGACUUCCACUCAGGUCACGAUCUCGCGGUCCGUGAGUUUGAGCCCCGCGUCGGGCU